AACUAAAACUUAUUUUGCAUCUCCUGUCACAUGGUGAGGCCAAAAACAAUAUCCACAUCUAUGUAACAAACAAAAAACUGAUCAAAUAGAACAAAAGGGAACCAAUCACCAAACCAGAACCGCUUUUCCUUCAAAAAUGGUGAAGAACCACACAAAGAUCCAUCUGAAAUGGAAGUGCAUAAACAAUAAGCAAGGGGAAAGCCCAGGAAGAAGACAAUGACAGUAGAAAAAUAUUAUACUCCCUCUACAAUGCUUCACGUCCAACAACCAGACCAAGAUAGCCCCACCUUAAGCUCCGACUUUGGUAGAAUCAAAACUUAUUUUGUAUCUCCUGUCAAAGGGUGGGACCAAAAACAAUAUACACAUGUACGUAACAAACAAAAAAUAGAUUAAACAGAGCAAAAGGGAACCAAGCACCAAACCAGAACCGCCUUCCCACGAGAACUGGUUAAUUAGAACCCAAAGAUCAAACAUUUGAAGAUUAAAGAGCAUAACAAUAAGCAAAGGGAAAAAGUUCACCUAGAAGAUAAAUCACAAUAGAAAAAUAAUAUACUCCUGUUGACACCCACCAUAAACACUAUACCAAUGGCAGCAUCCAAGAUUGGUCCAUAUCCAAAUAACCAGACCAAGAUAGCCUCACCUUAAAUACCUAACUUUGAUGGAAUCAAAACCAAUUUUGUAUCUCCUGACACAGGGUGAGGCAGAAAACAAGGUCCAAGUCUACGUAACAAAAUAAAACUAUAAUAGAGAGCAAAGAUAACCAAGGAUCAAACCAGAACAGUCUUCCACAGAAGCCUGAUUAAGAAACACACAACGAUCCGGCAUCUGGAAAUUGAAAAGAAUAACGAUAAGCAAGGGAAAGUUUAGGUAGAAUAUAAAAUUUAGUAAAAAAGUUACAAUACUAUACUCCCUAUGCAACCCUUGAUAAACACUAUAUCAAUGACAGCGUCAAAGGUUGCUCCGUGUCCAACAAUCAGACCAAGAUUGCACCACCAUAAGCUCCUACUUUGAUAGAAUCAAAACUUAAUUUAUAUUUUGUGUCAUAGGGUGAUGCAGAAAACAAUAUCCACGCCAACGUAACAAACAAAAAACUGAUGAAAGAGAAAAAAGAUAACAAAGCAUCAAACCGAACAGCCUUCCAAUUAAGAACCACAACGAUCAGAAAUCUGAAAAUUGAAGAGUAUAACGACAAGCACCGGAAACUCUAGGUAGAAGAGAAAAUAUAGUAGAAGAAAAUGUAGUAUAACAAUCUGCAUCCCUCAAUAAACAUUAUAUCAAUUGACAUCUUAUAUUAGUCCGCAUCCAACAACCCCACCAAGUUGGCCCCCACCUUAAGCUCCCACUUUGAUAGAAUAAAACUGAAUUUGUAUCUCCUGUCACAGGGUGAGGGCGAAAAAAAUAUCAAAGUCUACGUAACAAAAAAAAAAAAACUAUAAUAGAGAACACAGACAACCAAGCGUCAAACAAGAACUGCCUUUCAGAGAAGCUUGAUUAAGAACAAAACAGCAACCAAAGAUUUGUCCAUGUCCAAAAACCAGACCAAGAUAGCCCCCACCUUAAGCUCCUACUUUGAUAGAAUCAAAACCUAUUUUGUAUCUCCUGUCACAGGGUGAGGCUGAAAACAACAUCCAAGUCUACAUAACAGCAAAAGAACUAUAAUUGAGAGAGCAAAGAUAACCAAUUAUCAAACCCGAACUGCCUUCCAGUUAAACUUGAUUAAGAACCACAUAAUGAACAGGCAUCUGGAAAUGGAAGAGAGACUAACAAUAACCACAGGAAAGUCUAGAUGGAAGAUAAAUUGUAGUAGAAAAAAAUACUAUAUUAUACUCCCUCUGCCAUCCUCGAUAAACACUAUAAUUGACAGCGUCAAAGGUUGAUCUGUGGCCAAUAUAACUAAACCAAGAUUAGCCCCACCUUGAGCUCCUACUUUGAUAAAAUCAAAACAAAAUUUUUAUCAUCUGCCAUAGGAUGAGGCAGAAAUACAAUAUACACGUAUACGUAACAAACAAAAAAACUGAUGAUAGAGAGAAAAGAUAAACCCAGCAUCAAACCAGAAGUGCCUUCAAGUAAAGAACACCUGGAAAUUGAAGAGUAUAACGAUAAGUAUAGGAAACUCAAGGUAAAAGAGAAAACGUAAAAAAAAAAAAAAUAACUAUACUGUACACCAUCUGCCACCCUCGACAAACACUAUAUCAAUGAUGGCAUCAUAGAUUAGUCCAUAUCCAAAAACCAGACCAAGAUAACCCCCACCUUAAGCUUCAACUUUGAUAGAAUCAAAACCUAUUUUGUCUCCUGGCACAGGGUGAGGACCAAAACAUUGUCCAAGUCUACAUAACAAAUAAACAAUAAUUACAGAGCAAAGGUGACCAAUUAGCAAACCAGAACAGCCUUCCCGUGAAGCUUGAUUAAAAACCACACAGCGAUCAGGCAUCUGGAAAUUGAUGAGAACAACGGUAAGCAUGGGAAAGUCUAGGUAGAAGAUAAAAGAUAGUAAAAAAAAAAAAAACUAUUCUAUACUCUCUUUGCCAGGCCCACACCACUAUAUCAAUGACAGCAUCAAAGGUAGAUCCGUGUUCAAUAACCAGGCCAACAUUAGCCACACCAUAAGCUCCUUCUUUCAAAACUUAAUUUUUAUCUCCUAUCAUAGGGUGAGGCAGAGAACAAUAUCCACGUCUACAUAACAACAAAAAAUUGUUGAAACUGACAAAAGAUAACCAAGAAAACAAGAAGUGCCAUCCAUUAUGGAAAUUGAAGAGUAUAACUAUAAACACGGGAAACUCUAGGUAGAAGAGAAAAUGUAGUAGAAAAAAAAAAUACUAUUAUGUAUUUCCUUUGCGACCCUCGAUUUACAAUAUACCAAUGAUAACAUCAAAGAUCUGUCCGCGUCCAAAAACCAGACCAAGAUAGCCCCCACAUUAAGCUCCUACAGUGAUGGAAUCAAAACCUAUUUUGUAUCUCCUGUCACAGGGUAGGCCCAAAACAAUAUCCAAGUCUAUAUAACAACAAAAGAAAUAUAAUAGAGAGAUCAAAUGCAACCAAUUAUGAACCCAGAACUGCCUUCCAGUUAAGCUUGAUUAAGAACCACACAACGAUCAGGCAUCUGGAAAUUGAAGAGAAUAACAAUAAGCACGGGAAAGUCAAGAUGGAAGAUAAAUUGUAGCAGAAUUAAUACAAUACUAUACUCCCUCUGACACCCUCGAUAAACAUUAUAUCAGUGACAGCAUCAAAAGUUGAUAUGUCUCCAAUAACUAGACCAAGAUUAGCCCCACCAUAAGCUGCUUCUUUCACAACUUAAUUUUUAACCCCUGUCACAAGGUGAGGCAGAAAACAAUAUCCACGUCUACGUAACAAAUAAAAGAUUGUUGAAACUGACAAAAGAUAACCAAGCAUACCAGAAGUGCCUUCCAGUUAAGAACCACACAACAAUCAGACAUCUGGAAAUUGAAGAGUAUAACUAUUAGCACGGGAAACUCUAGGUAGAAGAGAAAAUGUAGUAGAAAAAAAAUACUAUUAUGUACUCCAUGUACUCCCUUUACCACCCACAUUAAACUAUAUCAAUGACAGCAUGAAGGAUUUGUCAGUGUACCAAAAACCAGACCAAGACACGCCCCCACCUUAAGCUCCUACUUUGAUAGAAUCAGAACCUAUUUUGUAUCUCCUAUCACAGGGUGAGGCUGAAACCAACAUCGAGUCUAAAUAACAACAAAAGAACUACAAUAGAGAGAGCAAAGGUAACCAACUAUCAAACCCGAACUGCCGUCCAGUAAGCUUGAUUAAGAACCACACAACGAUCGGGCAUCUGGAAAUGGAAGAGAAUAACGAUAAGCACCGGAAGGUCUAGAUGGAAGAUAAAUUGUAUUAGAAGAAAUACUAUACUAACUCCCUCUGCCACCCUCGAAAAACAUAUCAUGACCAUCAAAGGAUUGAUUGUGUGCAAUAACUGACUAAGAUUAGCCCUACCUUAAGCCCUACUUUGAUAAAAUUAAAACUUAAUUUUUAUCUCAUGUCAUAGGGUGGGGCAGAAAACAAUAUCACGUCUAUGUACAAACAAAAAUUGUUGAAAUGACAAAAGAUAACCAAACAUCAAACCAGAAGUGUCAUCCAGUUAAGAACCACCCCACGAUCAGACAUCUGGAAAUUGAAGAGUAUAUCUAUAAGCACGGGAAACUCUAGGUAGAAGAGAAAAUGUAUAGAAAUAAAAAUACUAUUAUGUACUCCCUUUGCCACCCUCGAUUAACACAAUAUCAAUGACUCAUCAAAGAUCUGUCCGCGUCCAAAAACCAGACCAAGAUAGCCCCCACAUUAAGCUCCUACAGUGAUGGAAUCAAAACCUAUUUUGUAUCUCCUGUCACAGGGUAGGCCCAAAACAAUAUCCAAGUCUAUAUAACAACAAAAGAAUAUAAUAGAGAGAUCAAAUGCAACCAAUUAUGAACCCAGAACUGCCUUCCAGUUAAGCUUGAUUAAGAACCAAACAACGAUCAGGCAUCUGGAAAUCGAAGAGAAUAACAAUAAGCACGGGAAAGUCAAGAUGGAAGAUAAAUUGUAGCAGAAUUAAUACAAUACUAUACUCCCUCUGACACCCUCGAUAAACAUUAUAUCAGUGACAGCAUCAAAAGUUGAUGUCUCCAGUAACUAGACCAAGAUUAGCCCCACCAUAAGCUGCUUCUUUCACAACUUAAUUUUUAACUCCUGUCACAAGGUGAGGCAGAAAACAAUAUCCACGUCUACGUAACAAAUAAAAGAUUGUUGAAACUGACAAAAGAUAACCAAGCAUACCAGAAGUGCCUUCCAGUUAAGAACCACACAACAAUCAGACAUCUGGAAAUUGAAGAGUAUAACUAUUAGCACGGGAAACUCUAGGUAGAAGAGAAAAUGUAGGUAGAAAAAAAAUACUAUUAGUACUCCCUUUACCACCCACUAUUAACACUAUAUCAAUGACAGCAUGAAGGAUUUGUCAGUGUCCAAAAACCAGACCAAGACAGCCCCCACCUUAAGCUCCUACUUGAUAGAAUCAGAACCUAUUUUGUAUCUCCUAUCACAGGGUGAGGCUGAAACCAACAUCCGAGUCUAAAUAACAACAAAAGAACUACAAUAGAGAGAGCAAAGGUAACCAACUAUCAAACCCGAACUGCCGUCCAGUUAAGCUUGAUUAAGAACCACACAACGAUCGGGCAUCUGGAAAUGAAGAGAAUAACGAUAAGCACCGGAAGGUCUAGAUGGAAGAUAAAUUGUAUAGAAGAAAUACUAUACUAUACUCCCUCUGCCACCCUCGAUAAACACACUAUAUAGUGACCACGUCAAAGGAUUGACUUGUGUGCAAUAACUUGACUAAGAUUAGCCCUACCUUAAGCUCCUACUUGAUAAAAUUAAAACUUAAUUUUUAUCUCAUGUCAUAGGGUGGGGCAGAAAACAAUAUCCACGUCUAUGUAGCAAACAAAAUUGUUGAACUGACAAAAGAUAACCAAACAUCAAACAGAAGUGUCUCCAGUUAAGAACCACCCCACGAUCAGACAUCUGGAAAUUGAAGAGUAUAUCUAUAAGCACGGGAAACUCGAGGUAGAAGAGAAAAUGUAGUAGAAUAAAAAUACUAUUAUGUACUCCCUUUGCCACCCUCGAUUAACACAAUAUCAAUGACUACAUCAAAGAUCUGUCGCGUCCAAAAACCAGACCAAGAUAGCCCCCACAUUAAGCUCCUACAGUGAUGGAAUCAAAACCUAUUUUGUAUCUCCUGUCACAGGGUAGGCUCAAAACAAUAUCCAAGUCUAUAUAACAACAAAAGAAAUAUAAUAGAGAGAUCAAAUGCAACCAAUUAUGAACCCAGAACUGCCUUCCAGUUAAGCUUGAUUAAGAACCAAACAACGAUCAGGCAUCUGGAAAUCGAAGAGAAUAACAAUAAGCACGGGAAAGUCAAGAUGGAAGAUAAAUUGUAGCAGAAUUAAUACAAUACUAUACUCCCUCUGACACCCUCGAUAAACAUUAUAUCAGUGACAGCAUCAAAAGUUGAUAGUCUCCAUAACUAGACCAAGAUUAGCCCCACCAUAAGUGCUUCUUUCACAACUUAAUUUUUAACCCCUGUCACAAGGUGAGGCAGAAAACAAUAUCCACGUCUACGUAACAAAUAAAAGAUUGUUGAAACUGACAAAAGAUAACCAAGCAUACCAGAAGUGCCUUCCAGUUAAGAACCACACAACAUCAGACAUCUGGAAAUUGAAGAGUAUAUCUAUAGCACGGGAAAUUCUAGGUAGAAGAGAAAAUGUAGUAGAAAAAAAAUACUAUUAUGUACUCCCUUUCCACCCCGAUUAAACAUAUCAAUGACCAUAAGAUUGUCGGUCCAAAAACCAGACCAAGACAGCCCCCACCUUAAGCUCCUACUUUGAUAGAAUCAGAACCUAUUUUGUAUCUCCUAUCACAGGGUGAGGCUGAAACCAACAUCGAGUCUAAAUAACAACAAAAGAACUACAAUAGAGAAAGCAAAGGUAACCAACUAUCAAACCCGAACUGCCGUCCAGUUAAGCUUGAUUAAGAACCACACAACGAUCGGGCAUCUGGAAAUGGAAGAGAAUAACGAUAAGCACCGGAAGGUCUAGAUGGAAGAUAAAUUGUAUUAGAAGAAAUACUAUCUAUACUCCCUCUGCCACCCUCGAUAAACACACUAUAUCAGUGACCACGUCAAAGGAUUGACUUGUGUGCAAUAACUUGACUAAGAUUAGCCCUACUUAAGCUCCUACUUUGAUAAAAUUAAAACUUAAUUUUUAUCUCAUGUCAUAGGGUGGGGCAGAAAACAAUAUCCACGUCUAUGUACAAACAAAAUUGUUGAAAUGACAAAAGAUAACCAAACAUCAAACCAGAAGUGUCUCCAGUUAAGAACCACCCAGAUCAGACAUACUGGAAAUUGAAGGUAUAUCUAUAAGACACGGAAAUUGGUAGAAGAGAAAAUUAAGUAGAAUAAAAACUAUUAUGUACUCCCUUUGCCACCCUCGAUUAACACAAUAUCAAUGACUCAUCAAAGAUCUGUCCGCGUACCAAAAACCAGACCAAGAU
rnacentral:lncRNA from 1 species